rnacentral:rRNA from 1 species
AUUGAACGCUGGCGGCAUGCUUUACACAUGCAAGUCGAACGGUAACAGGUCUUCGGAUGCUGACGAGUGGCGAACGGGUGAGUAACACAUCGGAACGUGCCUAGUAGUGGGGGAUAACUACUCGAAAGAGUAGCUAAUACCGCAUGAGAUCUAAGGAUGAAAGCAGGGGACCUUCGGGCCUUGCGCUACUAGAGCGGCUGAUGGCAGAUUAGGUAGUUGGUGGGAUAAAAGCUUACCAAGCCGACGAUCUGUAGCUGGUCUGAGAGGACGACCAGCCACACUGGGACUGAGACACGGCCCAGACUCCUACGGGAGGCAGCAGUGGGGAAUUUUGGACAAUGGGCGAAAGCCUGAUCCAGCAAUGCCGCGUGCAGGAUGAAGGCCCUCGGGUUGUAAACUGCUUUUGUACGGAACGAAAAGACUCUCUCUAAUAAAGAGGGUUGAUGACGGUACCGUAAGAAUAAGCACCGGCUAACUACGUG